UACAUGAUCCAGAGAUAUGUGUUGUUCGAAACUCGGUUGUCGGGGGGCAGUCUGCAUCGAGCCAGGUGGGGUUUGCCAAGAUCAUGAGAGUUCUAUGCAGUAGAAUCUCAAAGGCUGUCGGAGGGAUUAUUGUGACUUGGCGGCUAGGAAGUUGUAACAUUGAUAUUUUGUCAUAAAUAUAAUCAACAGGUCUUUAUGGUCAUAUCAGAAGAAAAUGGGCGCCAAUGGAUUUUCUCUGCAGUUUGUGGGUACUGUUGGAUGAGAUAUCCAGUAGAGGUGGCAAAAUAUGACCCGACCCGCCAACCCGACCCGUGUUCGACCCGCCAUAAACAGGUUUGGAUUUGGCCUAAACAGGUUCGGGUCGUAAACAGGUUGACCCGUUUAACUUGUUUAUUAAUUGGGUCGGAUACGGGUUUUAGACGUCGGACCCGUUUAACCCGUAUAACCUGUUUAACUGUUGGGCUGAUAGAUAAGGGCCACAAUCCACAAGAUUCAGGGCCGGCCCAAUUCUCCGCCUCGGCCCAAUUUCACCGCGUUGGCCCGAUUUCACCGCGAGGUCCUUAGGGUUAGGGAUUGCCGUUUGUGCGCCGCCCGAGCUCAUAGUCUCUGUCUCUCGCUCUCCCCUCUACUCUCGGUGCCGCCCGAGCUCCGGAUUCUUCGCCUCCCGAGCCCUCUCCUCUAGACCUCCACCUCCGCCCUCUCGUCCCCCUUGCCGACUACUUCCGCCUCCCCGUCGACGGCGACCACGGCGGCUCGACCGGUCCUGGGAUUUCUUUGGCUCCCGUCGCCUUCCCUCUCCCUCUUCUGUUCAAAGUCUUCCGUGCGUGCGAGGUCGGAUCCUCUGCUCUACCGAGAAAAGACAUUCACCAUCAAACGGUAGAGCACUUUGUCAAGGUCUAGCAUUCUUGGGGAUUUCUUCCAUCAACAAUUUCAUAAGCUCGGACUAGACCCAACAGGAAUGGCUUUCAACUUUGAAUUUUGUUGGCCAGGUCAAGCUUCUGAAACACCCUAUCGUCACCUUGGCUAUAACUAAGAUUCAAUGGAGACCUGAUCCAAAAGUACAAAUAGCAUUCAUCCAAUCCAUUUGCAGCACCAGCAACCAAUAACACUCCAUUUCAGGAAAUAUAUUGCUCCCAUUCACCUCGGACUGGAGAUUCAGUUAAUCUAAAAAUUUUGAGUAGCCUAUGCGUCUCAAAUCAGCAAGAGAAGUUUCAAAGCAAAUAUCAAAAUUUUGAACAGACCUGCCUAGGAGUAGAGGCCUUUGUUCCAAAAGAAAAGUGUGAUUGAAGCCCACCAUGUUUCAUUAUAAUGAGACAAGUUCAUCUAUGGGGAAAUUUGUAUGCCAUCAAGCUGCAUGCUGAUGAGAGUACCCCUUUUUUUUGUGUUAGCUUAAACAUUGGUAACUUAACAUAUUCAAUUUUAUUUUUACCAUCAAUUUUAUGUGUGGCUUCUUUUGAUACUUAUAGCUAUUUGAUAGUUUCUUUUGCUAGAUUCUUUUUUUGCACAGGUUGCUAUUGUAAGUUUGUAACUUUUGAUGGAAGCAAUGUCUCAGAUUGCAAAUGAUUCUCGGGAGAAGAAGCGCAAUUUUACUGAAACCUCAUCAUCUGAGUGCUAAGUUGGCUCUGCUGCUUCUGCAGACAUAUCAUCUAACUUUGCAUGCUCUGUACAUACAACAGGGUUUGGUAUAAUCAUCUUGUUGACUUGUAUCUGCUGCUUUAUAGAAAGAUGGACCUGGAGCACCUGGAGGACAGUCAUGGACAGUGCAAUGGUUGAAGUUCGACAACAGCUACUUCAAGAGUUGCUUAGAUUGUGCCUUGUCUGAAUCAUCUGUCAGUCUGGUAUUUGGUGUGGUUGUGCCACAGGCUGUUGACUGCAUAUUAUCUAUGGUUGCCAUUGGUGAUAUUAAUUCUUGAUGAUGUGUGAACAUAUGCCAAUGCCUGGAGGACAGUCAUGGACAGUCCAAUGGUUGAAGUUCGACAACAGCUCCUUGGACCCAUCUUUCAAGGU